GGUUAAGCUACUAAGAGCACACGGAGGAUGCCUAGGCGCCAGGAGCCGACGAAGGACGUGGCGAACAACGAAACUGCCUCGGGGAGCUGUAAGCAAGCUUUGAUCCGGGGGUGUCCGAAUGGGGAAACCCAGCUGUGGUAAUUCGCAGUUACUCAUUUCUGAAUACAUAGGAAAUGCAGAGGCAGACCAGGGGAACUGAAACAUCUAAGUACCCUGAGGAAGAGAAAACAAUAGUGAUUCCGUCAGUAGCGGCGAGCGAACGCGGAACAGCCUAAACCAAGGGGCUUGCCUCUUGGGGUUGUGGGACGUCUCACAUGGAGUUACAAAGGAAUAUGGUAGGUGAAGAGGUCUGGAAAGGCCCGCGAUAGAGGUAAAAGCCCUGUAGCCUAAACUGUGUUCUCUCCGAGACGGAUCCCGAGUAGUGCGGGGCACGUGAAACCCCGUAUGAAUCCAGCAGGACCAUCUGCUAAGGCUAAAUACUACCUGGCGACCGAUAGUGAAACAGUACCGUGAGGGAAAGGUGAAAAGCACCCCGGAAGGGGAGUGAAAUAGAACCUGAAACCGUGUGCUUACAAAAAGUCAGAGCCCUAUGCUGGACUUGUCCAGCACGGGUGAUGGCGUGCCUUUUGUAGAAUGAACCGGCGAGUUACGUUUAACAUGCAAGGUUAAGGUGAGAAGCCGGAGCCGCAGCGAAAGCGAGUCUGAAUAGGGCGACUCAGUAUGUGGACGUAGACCCGAAACCGUGUGAUCUACCCCUGUCCAGGGUGAAGGUGCGGUAACACGCACUGGAGGCCCGAACCCACGCAUGUUGA
rnacentral:rRNA from 1 species